UACGGAGAGUUUGAUUCUGGCUCAGAACGAACGCUGGCGGCGUGGAUAAGACAUGCAAGUCGAACGAGGACUACGAAUAGCUUGCUAAUUGUAGCUCCUAGUGGCGGACGGGUGCGUAUCACGUGAGCAACCUACCCUGAAGUGGGGGAUAGCCCGGGGAAACUCGGAUUAAUACCGCAUGUGAUCUUCGGAUCAAAGACGGCUUCGGCUGUCGCUUCAGGAUGGGCUCGCGGCCUAUCAGCUUGUUGGUGAGGUAACGGCUCACCAAGGCAACGACGGGUAGCUGGUCUGAGAGGACGAUCAGCCACACUGGAACUGAGACACGGUCCAGACACCUACGGGUGGCAGCAGUCGAGAAUCAUUCACAAUGGGGGAAACCCUGAUGGUGCAACGCCGCGU
rnacentral:rRNA from 1 species